rnacentral:rRNA from 1 species
AGUGAACGCUGGCGGUAGGCCUAACACAUGCAAGUCGAACGGCAGCACAGUAAGAGCUUGCUCUUACGGGUGGCGAGUGGCGGACGGGUGAGGAAUACAUCGGAAUCUACUUUUUCGUGGGGGAUAACGUAGGGAAACUUACGCUAAUACCGCAUACGACCUACGGGUGAAAGCAGGGGAUCUUCGGACCUUGCGCGAUUGAAUGAGCCGAUGUCGGAUUAGCUAGUUGGCGGGGUAAAGGCCCACCAAGGCGACGAUCCGUAGCUGGUCUGAGAGGAUGAUCAGCCACACUGGAACUGAGACACUGUCCAGACUCCUACGGGAGGCAGCAGUGGGGAAUAUUGGACAAUGAGCGCAAGCCUGAUCCAGCCAUACCGCGUGAGUGAAGAAGGCCUUCGGGUUGUAAAGCCCUUUUGUUGGGAAAGAAAAGCAGCAGGUUAAUACCCCGCUGUUCUGACGGUACCCAAAGAAUAAGCACCGGCUAACUUCGUG